UAGUAUCACACCUAGGACUAAGGAAAACGUCUAACCGGACCUUAGAAUGGCCGGACUUAAACGUACCCAAGAAUAGUCAAAAUACUUGCCGAGGUCAGGGAUAGAGAAUGAGACACAACAAUGAGGGAAAGACAAAAGUCAAGGAUACCAGAAAUCAGCAAAGUCAAAAUGAAGCCAAAGUCAAAAACCAGAAUAAUACAAUCAGGAACACACUCGCUGAUAACUAGCAAAGGGAAACCAAGACAGGGCAC